rnacentral:rRNA from 1 species
AACGAACGCUGGCGGCGUGGCUAAGGCGUGCAAGUCGAACGGACAUAGUGCGUAGCAAUACAAGCUAUGUUAGUGGCGGACGGGUGAGUAAUGCAUGGGUAACGUACCAUGGACACGGGGAAUAGCGCCGGGUCCGUCGCAAGACGGAUCCUUUGCGAAAGUGGCGGUAAGACCCGAUGAACCCGGGAAACACAUGUUUUCCCGGGCAAACGCUCCGGUGGUCUAUGAUACGGCCCAUGCCUAUCAGCUUGUUGGUGAGGUAACGGCUCACCAAGGCAACGACGGGUAGCCGG